UUUCCGGUUGAUCCCGCCGGAGGCCAUUGCUAUCAGGGUUUGACUAAGCCAUGCGAGUCGAGAGGUGUAAGACCUCGGCAUACUGCUCAGUAACACAUGGAUAAUCUGCCCUUGGGUGGAGAAUACUCCCGGGAAACUGGGGUUAAUGCUCCAUAGUGGAUAUAUACUGGAAUGUUAUAUCCUCGAAAGAUCCGUCGCCCAAGGAUGAGUCUAUGUCCGAUUAGGUAGUUGGCGGGGUAACGGCCCACCAAGCCUUUGAUCGGUACGGGUUGUGGGAGCAAGAUCCCGGAGAUGGAUUCUGAGACAUGAAUCCAGGCCCUACGGGGCGCAGCAGGCGCGCAAACUUUACAAUGCGAGCAAUCGUGAUAAGGAAACCCUGAGUGCCUGUCGAUGCAGGCUGUUCAUAUAUCUAAAUCAUAUGUGAAGAAAGGGCAGGGCAAGACCGGUGCCAGCCGCCGCGGUAAUACCGGCUGCUCGAGUGAUGGCCACUAUUACUGGGUUUAAAGCGUCCGUAGCUUGAUUGUUAGGUCUCUUGGGAAAUCUUCACGCUCAACGUGAAGGCGUCCAAGAGAUACCGGCAAUCUUGGAACUGGGAGAGGUAAACCGUACUUCGGGGGUAGGAGUGAAAUCUUGUAAUCCUCGAGGGACGACCUAUGGCGAAAGCAGUUUACCAGAACAGCUUCGACAGUGAGGGACGAAAGCUGGGGGAGCAAACGGGAUUAGAUACCCCGGUAGUCCC
rnacentral:rRNA from 1 species